CAAGUCGCGCGCGAAAGGGGGGCAACUCCCAAGUAGAGCGGCGAACGGGUGAGUAACGCGUGGGUGAUCUACCUUCGAGUGGGGAACAACAUCGGGAAACUGGUGCUAAUACCGCAUGACAUCCUCGAGUCACAUCGAGGUUCAAAGCCGGGGACCGUAAGGCCUGGCGCUUGAAGAUGAGCCCGCGUCCGAUUAGCUAGUUGGCGGGGUAAUGGCCCACCAAGGCGACGAUCGGUAGCCGGCCUGAGAGGGCGGACGGCCACACUGGAACUGAGACACGGUCCAGACUCCUACGGGAGGCAGCAGUGGGGAAUUUUUCGCAAUGGGCGCAAGCCUGACGAAGCAACGCCGCGUGGAGGAUGAAGGCCUUCGGGUCGUAAACUCCUGUCGACUGGGACGAAAGCAGCCUGGGCUAAUAUCCCGGACUGUUGACUGUACCGGUGGAGGAAGCCACGGCUAACUCUGUGCCAGCAGCCGCGGUAAUACAGAGGUGGCAAGCGUUGUUCGGAAUUACUGGGCGUAAAGGGCGCGUAGGCGGCUCGACAAGUCCCGCGUGAAAGCCCCCGGCUCAACUGGGGAACUGCGCGGGAAACUGACGGACUUGAGUUCGGGAGAGGGAAGCGGAAUUCCGGGUGUAGCGGUGAAAUGCGUAGAUAUCCGGAGGAACACCGGUGGCGAAGGCGGCUUCCUGGACCGACACUGACGCUGAGGCGCGAAAGCUAGGGGAGCAAACGGGAUUAGAUACCCCGGUAGUCCUAGCCCUAAACGAUGAGUGCUGGUGU
rnacentral:rRNA from 1 species